UGGCAGGAAAAUGAGUCGAGAGACACUUAGCGCCAUAUGUUGUUGAGGUUGAGAACUUAAAAGCAAGUGACCACACCAGCACCUGUUACUUUGUGAUUGCUGCCCCACCCACUCUUUGACUGGAAAGAGAGCAAGUGUGUGAAUUUGUUUGUGCCGUUUCUUAGGUUCUCUUCUCCCAAAUCCUGGGGGACGAUCAUCGUUGCAACAUGGUUUGGCUUUUGAUUCUCUGGGUUGUCCAAGGUUCUACUGCCUCGAUGGGGCCACGUCGCAGACAAAAUGAUUGGUAUAAAACACCUGAAACCAGAGAAGAGGACUUACAGUUCGACCUUGCUAUCAUGGAGGGAGACAUUCUGGUUUCGG